AGUGAACGCUGGCGGUAGGCCUAACACAUGCAAGUCGAACGGCAGCACAGUAAGAGCUUGCUCUUACGGGUGGCGAGUGGCGGACGGGUGAGGAAUACAUCGGAAUCUACUUUUUCGUGGGGGAUAACGUAGGGAAACUUACGCUAAUACCGCAUACGACCUACGGGUGAAAGCAGGGGAUCUUCGGACCUUGCGCGAUUGAAUGACCCGAUGUCGGAUUAGCUAGUUGGCGGGGUAAAGGCCCACCAAGGCGACGAUCCGUAGCUGGUCUGAGAGGAUGAUCAGCCACACUGGAACUGAGGCACGGUCCAGACUCCUACGGGAGGCAGCAGUGGGGAAUAUUGGACAAUGGGCGCAAGCCUGAUCCAGCCAUACCGCGUGGGUGAAGAAGGCCUUCGGGUUGUAAAGCCCUUUUGUUGGGAAAGAAAAGCAGCAGGUUAAUACCCCGCUGUUCUGACGGUACCCAAAGAAUAAGCACCGGCUAACUUCGUG
rnacentral:rRNA from 1 species